rnacentral:lncRNA from 1 species
ACCACUAUCACCGUGAGAAUAUCUUCCAACCACCGACCCACCUCAUUGCUACUACACCAACAGAAACCUUAGCCUCUACUUUGUUACUUUCUUUCUUUCCAGAACACCGUGCUCCGUCAGCACCAUCCAACGCCAAUCUUUUCCUCAUUCACCAUCAAACUUGGUAUUGUUUGUCGUCAACUUCUAGAUCUGAGAAAAAUCGAAGGAGAUACAGAGAAACGCAUAGAUGGGAAAUAUGAAGGCUGAUGGAGGUCUGCAACCUGGAUCAAGAAGGUGGGCUUUUUUAUUAAUGAUAAAAUGUGACGUUUUUUUUUACCUUUUCUUUUUCAGGUUUCUUUUGAUAUAAUAUAAAAUCGGAAGAGUAGCAAGAAAUGAAAAUCUCGAUUUAAUUUGUUUUUAGACAAACCCCUCUUUAUCAGAUACUCCCAAAAGUAAUUUUUAUUUGUGAUCAUUUUUGCUGGAUGUUGUCUUAUGAAACAUUACAAAAACAUCAUAAACAUUUUCUAACUUGAAAUUUUGCUUGUUUGAAAGAUUUUUGCUUUUAGGGGUUUUACUGUUGAUGCAAGUUAUGGAAAGAUUGCAAUAAAAGUUAUAUUUUGUCUUAAUUAACGUGCAUAUAACAUAUAAAUUUGCUAAAGUUUAUACUCAUUAUUGUUUAACAUUUUGUUUCAGCAACCCAAAUGACUAUUAAUGACCAUUGAAAUUGGUGAAGGACUAGAGAGGUGGAAGAUCCUAUUCUUUCAACAUCAUUCUCAACAUUGUAAGGGCUAUUAAGGAUUCUCAAUUCUGCCAUGUUUAACAUUUAGUUUUAGCAAACAAAACUAUCUAUCUUGUGUUUGUCAAAGAUAUGCAUUAUUUAGCUAUUUUUUGAUUUAAAUGAUUUACAAAAAAUCAUUUAUUUCCGGAAUUUAUUUCAUUUAUGUGGUUAUAUAAAGUUUGUAGAUGUUGUAUAUAUGUAUGUAUUUGUGUAUGUAUCUAUGUGUCUAUCUAUUUGUGUUUAUAUGUGUAUCAGUUUAUGUAUAAUAAUAAAUAAAAUAAUUUUUUCUCAGAUUUGGAAGUGCUUGGAGAGGCAUAGUAGAUGUUGGCAUGCCAAAGAUCGUACUUGAGAUGCUUGAAAGAAGGGUGCUUGAGAAGAAUUACUUAUUAAGGUAUGUUAAAAUGGUUUAUGAUCCUUAUGUUUGUUUGAGUUCAUUUCAACUAUUUUUGAGUUUUUAUGAUCCUUUGUUUUUCAUUUAUAUUGCUUAGUUAUUCCAAUGGUUUUCUUGGUCUUUAAAUGAACACCAUUUUUCCAUGAAAUUGCUCAAUAUCUAACCACAUCGUGAUAUUAUAUAGUAUCUUGUAGCAAAGUGAGCACAUUCCAUCUGAAGAUACACUUUGAAAGGUUAAAAAAGAAAUCGAUACACAUGCUCAAACAUCAUGUUCUAUAAUUUAUGAAAAUAUAUAAAUCAGUAAACAACCAAAUAGAGCCACGUCAUUUGUUAUAUAGUUUCAGUUUUACAUAAUCUAAGUUAUCUUAUCUUUCACUGGUUGUUUCAUUAGAAAAUUUAUAUUAUCUUAUAUAAAUAGAUUGCCCCGGCCCUAACUAAGAGUCAGAGGGGAUGUCGGAUGGUGUAAAUUAAAUUAUGCUUCUUUUAUCUUAUUGAACAUAAACCAAACCUUAAGGUAGUCCAAGAGCAUAAUUGGAUGUAACAAGGAGCAUGCAUUCAAUUCAAUUGAGGUAGUUUCUUUUAGUUGUUUUACUAGGGACAUUUACUUUCAUUGUAUUUCUGUUAGAAAGCUAUUUGUUUCAUCUAUUAUUAUUCACACCAUCUAUUUUUGAAAAAUGCAAGUACAAGUAAUGCACUUUAAUUUUAUAUUUUUUGAAUUUACUUUUAAAAAGUUUAGUUUCUAAUUUGGAACACCAUACUUCUUGCAUUAAUUCUUUCCAUUAAAACAAAAAUAGUAAUCUACUUACAUUUUUGUUUUGUAUUUCAAAAUUAUUGUUCAUUGCUAUUACUUGCGUGAUAGCAACUUACAUAAUUUUAAUGUAUUUACCCAUAAAAAGAAAUAAGCUUUCCUUUGGAAUUUUGGAACCAUAUGCCCUUUUACAUACAUUGACUAUCCUUAUUGUGGUUCAGAUCCUUGUUAAAAGAAUAACUCAUGGAUUUUCAAAAUGUUAUGAAUUGGCUUGAUCAUGUAACUACCCUCAUAUAGACUAUCUUUUUAAAUGUAUGAUAUAAUCUUAUCUUAUAUUUCCCUAUUUCUCAUAAAUAUUGUAAUAUUUUCAAAUAUACUUCCUACAUGAUUCACAUAAUCACAUGACUAUGGGUGACAAAUUCAAUCACUAAAAAAUCAUCCCUGUUGCCUAUAAUUGGUUUUGAUUACAAUUCUUGGCCAAAUUAAGUAAUUAUAUUUUAAAUCUUUACAUAUUUAUGGUUUCUUAUUUAAAAAUUGGCAUUUACUUUUGUUUAAACUAUGAAGCUUUUAAACUAUGAAGCUUAUAAAUUAUAUAGUGUAAAUGUUUUUUAUUUGUUAAUUUAUUUAUGUUUUUGAGACGUUGAUUUUUUUGAUGAUUUUCAGGAGAAUAAGCUUCGGCUAAAAUUUGGAAUACACUUAAAAUAAAGUUGGAUAUUUUGUUCCAAACUAAUUUGUUUUUUUUCCAUGCCCACGACAUAAAUUUUCUAAAAGGAUAUUACUUCAUAGUAACAUUUAAAGAGAAACAUAUUAUAAACUAGCUGGAUGCCCAUGCUCCGCAUGGGACGGAAGGAUGUCGGAUUUUUUGACUACACGACAGACAAACUAAAUGCCGUAUGUAGAAUUUGUUCGAUGGGUAAUAGGUUGGAACUGAUUACAUUUUUAGGACAUAAUCAAUGCGAUGGUUCGAUGUGCAAAUAUAUUAUUUAGUUUUUAUUACUUUACAAAUUAUGUCAAAAUGUUUAAUUAGUGUUGCGUCAUCAUAAGAAAAGACAACUCAUUUGAAUAAUUAUACCCAAACAAGAAAAGACAACUCAUUUGAAUAAUUAUACCCAAACAAGAAAAGACAACUCAUUUGAAUAAUUAUACCCAAACGAAUUUAUUGUUCAAAACAACAAAAGAGUAAGCAACACUCAAAUAUUAUAAAAUGGCUUGAUAAACAUCUCACCCUUUCUAACUUCUAUUUAAAUCUGUCACUUAUAAAGUCUAAUAAACUUAUUUAGUUUCAAACAUAAGAUAUUGACAUGCCAUUACCACUCUCUAUGUUUAUAGGAAUCAUAUAUAUUUUUAAUGAUUGGGCUAUAAUUAAUCAGUUAUAAACACAACCCUGCCAUUUCCUCUAUUGUUGCCCUCUGUAGUUUCACAUGUUUACAUAUAAAUACCUUCAGAUAACAAACAAUCAUUCACUAAAUGGAAAAUUACAAAGAAAAAAAUAUGAGACUAUCCCAUUGGAACUUUUUGCAACCGGUUGCUCAUUAAAAAACAAUAAAGCUACCAUUAAAUUAUUAAUACAAAGCAUACAUAACAACCCAUUAGAUGUUAGUAUCUUUAAUCAAAAAUAGAAGUUACAUAUGAUCACUUGCAGAAACGUGCCAACUGAAUUUUGAUAGUUGCUACUUGAUGUUGAUGAUAUUAAAAAUACUAAUGAUGAAGCUACUAAGUUUAUAAAUAUCAGCAAAAUUAUUGUCAUUACCACAUAUGAAACUAUGGCUAAUAAACCUACACUUAGCUAUAUACUUGUUAGUAUUUACCAAUUACCAUUUGUAGUUCUAUCUUUCACCCAACACCCAACAUAUCACCUGUUUUCAAAAAAAAAAAAAAUUUAAAAAUAAAAAAAAAUCCCAACAUAUGACCUGUACAUGAAAUCGUUUCUUAGAGCCUUAAGCCAAGUUGGAGCUCCAAAUUAAUUUCAAAUGGUGUAAACAUCUUUAAGGUAAUAUUAAUCAAAAUUCAUAUAAGUAAUAUUUAUUAUGAGAAAACUGAAUUAACUAUAACCAUCCUAUAAAGAAACAAAAGUGGUCCUAAUUUCCAGUAAAAGGGUAAAUGUAUGUAAUUUAUAGCAACAUACUAUUUUAUACAUAGAAACACAUAUGGUUUCAGAUACUAUUUACUGCGGAGGUAAUGGAAGAGCUGAGUGGUUUUGGGUCUAAUCAAAGGAAGUGAUACGAUUACAUUAGAGGUUGUAUACAUUUUGUUGGCAAACUACCGGACAAUUGAUGGAGGUUCAAAUUAAACCAACCCUAAUCCAAAUUAAUAGAAUUAGCAGCAACAUACUCAAAAAUUAAAAUCAAAUAAGCAAGAAACAUCAAUAACCAAAACUGUUAUUGAACAACUUAAAACUUAAAUUACACAACUUAAAAAAGGAAAAAGAAAAAAUGGUUAGGUUUUACCUGAGAAGCUUUCGACUGGGAAAGACGGGUUGAAUCACCAUAACCUGAGUAAGUUGAACCAAGGAGCUCCCAUUGUUGGCACCUGUUAUUGCACUUAUGUAGUAGUUAUUCUCGCAUUUUUCGAUAAUAUAAUCCUUCAAUAACACACAAAAAAAAACUUGGUAAAUAAAAGAGAGAAGACCCAAAAACAAAGAAUGGAUCAUGAACCUUGUUAACAAACAUAAAGCAGAGUUCACAAACUUGAUGGGUGAAUCCAGUUCCUGCAUCCAUGAUAAGAGCACAUAAGGCAUGGCAAGAAGCCACACUGUUGAUGAAUAAUCCAUCUUCAUUUCCUUUUUGAAUAUGUCCAUGAAGUCUCACAUCUACCACAUUGUAAUGAUACCUACAACACAACAAAUUUGUCAAAAAAAAUUAUGUUCUUACCUCUGUUUCAUUGGGCGACCUGCAUUGUAAACACUUAUCCACUGAGUAGCACGCAUUCCCAUGUCUUAUAUUUUGACAGAGAAUGUUCAAGCAAAUCAGAUAAAACAUUCAAGGCCUAAUCUUUUUUUAAUCAAACAAAAAUGGUAGCUCUAAAAGUUUCAAAGUAUUGACUUUUUUUUGCUAAACGGAUGAAAGAUUAGACAAUUCCAUAGGAAAAAACAAUUUUCUAUAUUGAAAAAAACGGGAUCAACGCAUUCAACAACAUAAACUGUUGUUCACCAAACAAAUGUUAUGAAGUAAUAACAAAGAACAUUGAAAAUUUCUGGUCUAAAGAAAAGAUUUUCUCUUGAAAAUGUAAAAAAUAAUGAAAAGGACAACAACAAUAUUAGAGAUUAAAAGAUGAGCGUAACCUUGGCCGUCGAUGCACCCUUGUCCAGCACUCCCUCCGCUUCCAUAUGACCCAUCAUCGGUGGUCUGCCACACAGACUGCCAUCCUUGCUCUUCCAGAUCCUUCGAUUACUUCCUCCGGUCACUGCCUGCCACCAGCAGAUUCACCAGCUCACGAAGCCGAUCGUUUUCCGGGUACCAAUCAAUGAAAUCGGUGGAGUUUAAGCGGGGAAGGUAAGAUAAUGGCGGUGGAGAAGAAAGAUACAGAAGGAUUAACAGAUGAGGGUACCCUUGGUCGUCGAUGCCCCCUAGUCCAGCACUCCCUCCGCUUCCAUAUGACCCAUCAUCGGUGGUCCGCCACACAGACUGCCAUGCUUGCUCUUCCAGAUCCUUCGAUUGCUUCCUCCGGUCACUGCCUACCACCAACAGAUUCACCAGCUCACAAAGUCGAUCGUUUUUUGAGUACCAAUCAAUGAAGCCAGUGUUGAAGUAGGAGAGGCGGAGGUCAGCAGCUCUGCUUGAGGUGGCAGCAGGAGAGGUGUGAUGGAAGCGGCGGUUUUAGAUGACGGAGGAAAACUACGAUGCUGAUGGUGAUUCUCACAGAUAUUUUCUCCAAUGUUUUGUUCGAGUGGUUGGAGAGGAAUGGAUCGAGGUAGGAGUUUUCUGUGGAGAGAAUCACGUGGAAGGAAGAAUGUGGAAGAUCGUAGUUUCCUCUAUGAAGCGGUGGAAAAUAGAUGUCUUUGUGGGGUUUUCUGGAUGAGAAGAAAGGGGACAGAACACGUAUGACUUCCUGAAAGAAGCGGUGAUCACACCUGGAAUACACACCGACCAGGAAAUCCAAUCUCUAUUUGUUUAGAUAGGCGGUGGAAAGAACACGUAUCCACCAAAAUAAACAAAGUGGCUGUAACACCCAAAGUUUUGAAGGCCAAGAAAGGAAAGAAAACCCUAAGUUUAGGGGUCGACUCGGCGAGUCCAAAGGGGGACUCGGCGAGUCCGAGCGGGAUCCGGUUUGAGGAGUAAGUGACCGACUCGGCGAGUCUGGUCUGUGCGUGGAAAACCCUAAAUUUGGGACUUGGAGCCUAUAUAAACGUCUUAAUCUUCUUCCUAGGGUUCCCUUACUGCCUCUUCAGCCCUGGAUACCAAACCCUAGACGUCAUAACCUUUGAUUGAGCCAUUUGUUGCCUUGGAAGGUGCAUUAAAGCUUGGAGAAGGAAGAAGGAACUUGGAGGAGCAAGAAGGGACUAUAGAUCUGGAGUUUGUGGAGCCUUUUGGAAAUAUUGAAGGUAAUAAGUCGUCCCUCUCUCCUUUAGGUCUUCCAUGGUUGUGAGAUUUGGGGAUUUUAAGCCAUGGUUUGACACCCAUUUGAGUUAGAAGCCGGAUCUGGAGUUGCUACUUCAGAUCCAAGUGUGUUAUGGGCUUGAGAAGCAUAAAGUAUCAGCCCUUGAGUCAAUGUUGAAGCCCCUUGGCCUUAAACCCUAGUUUAUGGUGUGUUUUGCUUAGAUCUCCUUCUCUACACGUAAAGUUUGCAACUUUACAUGAGGAAUAGGCUUGGGAAGGGUAGAUCUACAGAUUUGAGUCCCUGCAUGACUCAAAAGUCCUCUGCAUGUAUGAAGGACCGGAUGGACUCGGCGAGUCCUUUGAGUGGACUCGGCGAGUAGCUUGAAGAUGAGGAGGAACUCGACGAGUGGGAUGAACAGCUCGUCGAGUCGGAUGAAGUUGGGCAUGAACUCGGCGAGUUGGAAGAACAACUCGGCGAGUUGGAUGAAGAUUGUCUUGGACUCGGCGAGUCUGUUCUUGGACUCGGCGAGUCAAGUCGCGAAACCCCAAACCCUUCGAGUUUAGACUCGAAUCAGUGAGUCGAUUAGAGACUCGGUGAGUUGGACAGGUCAGGACUCGGAAAUCGGUAGACUCGGCGAGUCAUGGACUGACUCGGCGAGUAGAGUCGCGAGUGGAAGGACUCUGGACUUAUGAACUCGGCGAGUCAGUAGGGUGACUCGACGAGUAGGGUUGACCUGGAAGGUUGACUUUGACCAGGACUUUGACUUCAACCUGAGUUGACUUAGAUAGACUAAGUGUUGCAUUGAUAUUGGUAGCUCGGGGAGCUAGUGGAGCGGGAGUUCAGAGAGUUGUCGGUCAGUAGCCGGAGGAUUAUCAGCAGAGCUCAGCAGCGCGAGGUGAGUCUCCUCACUGUUUGUAUGGGACUAAGGCACCAAUGCCGACCCAUUUAGAAUAUGCAUGAAAGACCAGGGAGUGGCCCCUGGCACACAAUAUGUUAUUAUGGAUGACAGGAAGACCCGGGGGUUAGCCCUAGGCAACAUGUAUGAAAGACCAGGAGGUGGCUCCUGGCGCAUUGUAUGCUAUUAUAUAUGAAAGACCAGGAGGUGGCUUCUGGCACACUGUAUGCUGUUUAGCUAAGUAGAGUAGUAUGUACGGUUUUCUUUGUGAUACUUGCAUAAAAGACCAGGGGGUGGCCCUUGGCACAUGUCUGUAAGACCAGGGGGUGGCCCUUGGCACUUGUCUGUAAGACCCAGGGAGCGGCCCAGGCUUGACCAGGAAGACCACGCGCGGCCCGUGGCAUAAUGGCAAGACUAUGUUUGGCACAUAGCACCUUAUUUGAUUAUGGAUAAGUCGGUUAUGUAUAGCUCUUGGCUAUGAAUGGUUUGUAUGGUAUGAGGUAUCUGGGGAACUCACUAAGCUUCGUGCUUACGGCUUUCAGUUUUGGUUUCAGGUACUUCCGGUAGCGGAUGAUGGAGCUCGGGAUGAUCGCAUGGCACACACCAUAGAUUAGUCAGCCUGGGAAUGUUUUACUCUGAUAAUGAACAUGUGUUUUGAAAACUAAUACUCUGUUUAUGUUUUGAAAUGAUGAUUUUACUUUAAGU